UUGGCCAAAGACUUCUAGAAUUACCGACCUAUGAGAUCACAUAGGAUAUCCGCUCUCCUUAUUAAGAGUGAUUGAUCCUUUAUUGAUCACUCACAACCUCCAUGCCCACUUCAUCAUAUCCAAAACACCUCAUACAAGGAUCAAAGAAUCAAGUUAGGAAGUGAACCAAAAUAUGGAUCCAUUUACACAAGGUACCAUGGUGAUCUCAGGUCAAAGGAUCACUUACACAACUCCCACUAGAGA
rnacentral:lncRNA from 1 species